CCUUUUUUAGGAUGGAUUGCAGAAGAGGCAGAAUUCUUUUUCAGGUCGGGCCAUAGUGCUUUGGUCUUACGCAAUGGAGUCCCGCGAACCUCGUCAGGUCCGGAAGGAAGCAGCGAUAAGAGGGUCGCUCCAUGUGCCGUGAGGGUGCCUGGGGACUGUGGUCCGACGUGAAAAAGAACAGGG
rnacentral:SRP_RNA from 1 species